UACGGAGGGGGCUAGCGUUGUUCGGAAUUACUGGGCGUAAAGCGCACGUAGGCGGAUCAGUCAGUUAGGGGUGAAAUCCCAGGGCUCAACCCUGGAACUGCCUUUAAUACUGCUGGUCUGGAGUCCGAGAGAGGUGAGUGGAAUUCCGAGUGUAGAGGUGAAAUUCGUAGAUAUUAGGAAGAACACCAGUGGCGAAGGCGGCUCACUGGUCCGGUACUGACGCUGAGGUGCGAAAGCGUGGGGAGCAAACAGGG
rnacentral:rRNA from 1 species